rnacentral:lncRNA from 1 species
CUCCUAAUUAGCAUUUUGACCUUUAUGAAGAUAAUUUAGUGAAUCUUUCAUUAGUAGUAGAUCAGGCAGGAGCUGUGGAUUAAAAUGCUAACUUUUUCUGAUGGUACAAAGCUUAGUUUGAAAAGUUUUUUUUAAGUUCCUGUAUUUACUUACUUUGCUGUUUGGUUCUCAGGUGCCCAUUGCUGAUAGACUGCAUUGCUGAUGGAAUACAACUUAACAGACAAUGCACAAAAUUUCAGUCUGGUUCUUAGGGAGGCUUUUUCAAAUCAGAUUUCCAAGCUCGGUUGGACAGGCAUUGUUUCUUGCAAUACUUUUUGAAAUAAUUGUUAAGUGUAUUAAGAGUUAAUGAGAUGUAUCAGUACACACCAAAAGCCUCUGAUCGGUGUGUAUAUGUCCCACUGAAGGCUUCAAGAGCAGUAAGUUGUGUCUAUACGUACUAUACACAGAAUAGAGGAGGCCAGCUGAUAUUUUACAGAUGUUUACUCUGUUUUCAUGUUCUGGACAACAGUUAACAUGUGUCCAACCAUUUCUCCUGAUAAGCAGUCUUUGUAAACUAAUGGUUGUGGUGCCAGGUUCUCAGAGGCUUCAAUAUCACUCAGAUUAUUAACAGUUGUGGAGGCUCUUCAGCUGAUACUUGUCUCAUCUCUACUUGUUGGCAAUCAAUGUAAUACUGUUUCCCUAGUCUAGGCUAAAGAGGCUGUGUGAGUGCAUAUCUCAUCACUCCUGAGCUUUAGAGAAGUUCCUGGGAACUAUAGACUAGGGGGCAGGCCUUCUUUAUAGGUAAGAUGUCACAGUCUGUCAUAUGAAUUAAGAAAACAGAACAUGCAGAAACAAGAUCUGUUGGGAGAAGGACAUUAUGACUCCAGUAAAGGGUCACCUCCUCCAAAGUCAAGAACAGUCCAUCGCCAUGUGCAGGAAGCCAAGCAAAAGUGGCAGGAGGCCUGCAUGGAUCAGCAAGGAUCUCCAAACAAAACUGAGACAUAAAAAGGAAGCAUACAAGAGGUGGAAGCAAGAACGGAGGCCCUGGGAUCCCUGGAGCCCAGAUAUGGAGGACUGUGACUGCAGGAACAAUAAUCUCCCAGCCAAUGACAAGACUAUGCUGUACCAUGUACUGUGGAUGUUCCUGCUAUGCAAACCCAUGUUAAUGGAAUUUGAUAUCUAAAGCCCCUCUAUUCAUUCCAGUAUAUUCCAUAAAUUCUUUCUGGAUUUGAUUUUAUUACCUUUCAACAAACUGAUGGGUUCAGCACUCCCUCUUGUUUUUGCUCUAUAUAUUUCUGCUUUUGAUCCAGCUCUGCUGAAAGUAAUUACAUGUUGCUUUUUGAACCAGUGGUACAAAAGUACCAAAUAACACAUAAAGUAAACCACUCAGAGCCAGCAGCUAACUAUACUCAUUUAUAAUUGUUUUACUAUAUCAAUUGUUUUUACUACCAUACUUCAAAGAAAUGCAUUGAAUAUUUCCAUUUCUGUGUUUCUUGCUCCAGAAAAGUACACAUUCCCAAACAUGUAUCUAAGUGAAGGGGAUUAACAAGUUUCUGUUUUUUAAAAAGUUGACAGAAUCAAGAUUUGUGCCCUAUACUUCAGUUACAGCAGUACUGGGAAUAGGACAGCAGAAGGAUCUGUUGUCUGUAGGCAGUUACAUGUACAUGCAGACAACUUCCCUGAUACUGAAGAACACUGGUAGAUUUUUAUAUACUAAAAAACAUACCACAUUUUGUCUAGAAGAUUUUUUUAAUGAAUAUUUUUCAGUCUGAAUUCCUCUUACGAAGUCUAGGUUGUAUAAGGAGUUCAGAUGAGCAAAACGAGUGACCUACUUUUGUAUUCACAUUGAUUAUGAAGUUUUUCAUAUUUGACAUGAUAGGUAUACAUGAAUGUCUGGGCUACAUGUGUAUACAUUAUGUAUUUAAUACUCUGUUCUACUCAAGUUUUCAGACAAGAAAACUCAUACAUUUUCUCAAUUGAAAAUAUAUACCAUCUUUGCAUUCAGACACACUAUUGCUGUAUGAGUAUUUUCUCAAUAGGUUAAUAUUAUAACAUUAUGUUAUUUAAUUUAGUGGUUAUUCCAGUCCUUUUGCUUUGAACCAUGAUAGUCACUACUGCAGAUAGACCAGUGGAUACAGCAGGGGACUGCUGUAGUCUUUCAGAAACUAUUAGCUUAGAUAUCCUAUUUUGAUACAGCACUCAAAGAAAAAGAAAAAUCCAGAAAUGAGAUAAUUUUAAAAAAUAACUGAUGAAACAAGGAAAGAAAAUAGAAUGGCAUGAACAUAUCCUUCAACUAAAAAUAGAACCAAGAGACAAGGAUGAAACAUAAGCAGUCCAAAUUUGCUACAGUUUUUGGUUUUGUAAAUGUGCAUGAUCUAUUCCCCCCUGCCCCAGUUUACUGUUCUAUGUGAAAGCUGGGUCCCAUAGAGUAAAAUAUGUUGCUUGCUCUAUCACAUUUAUAAAUAAUGAAAAAUAACAUGACAAGGAUUAUUAAGCAGUGUAAAGCAAAUAAAACAAUGGAAGCAGAAAUAACUAGGUAUCA